rnacentral:lncRNA from 1 species
AUAUAUAUAUAUACUGGAAUAUUAAUAUUAAUAGCAUUGAAACUAUUCUGCUAUCGAGUUGUUAAUCUUUAAAUGAAAAAUUAUAAGGUUGAGAUGAUAGUGGUUCCCUAAGAUUUAGUGGUGGUCCCCCCUAGGAUUGAGUAGCUAGGUAGUUGGUUGAAUAGUAUGAUCUGAAAUGUGGAAUUGAUUAAAGUGUAGAUCUAACGGCUAAAAAAAUCAAUAACAAAAGAAUUCAAAUGCUAUUAAUUAAUAGUAUUCUAAUUCAACUCUCUCUCUUUAUAUAGCAGAGUUAGAAUUAAAUUUGAAUGCAAAGAAAUAGAAUUUACUAUCUAUGUUUAAACCUUUGAAUAUCUAAAAUUUAGUAAUAAUAGAUAAAGUAAUAUUUAAUUUAGACUAGGGCUGCUAUACUCUUAUGAGUAUAAUUAAACACUUUUAUAUAUACCCAUAAGUUUUCGGCCGUUGGACGAAGAAAUUUACGAUUAAGAUAAUAGUGGUUUCCAAUUAGAAUGAUAGUAGUUCUCUAAGAUUAAGUGAGUUAUUAGUUGAAUAGUGUGAUCGAACGGGUGAAAAUGAUCAAAAGGGUAAAUUUAACGGUCAAAAAUUUAUAAGUACAAAAAAACCUACACUCAUAAGAGUACAGUAGCCGGGCUCUUUAAUUUAUAAAAUUAAAAAUUUAAUAAUAAUAAAUAUUAUUUAUUAAAAAUUUAAUAAUAAUAAAUAUUAUUCAUCUACUAUUCCCAGUAUAGUAUAAACG